UUUAUACGUCGAAUUUUGGUCGCGUCGAAUGCAAUUCAAUGAGGUUUAUCAUCUCAUUAUCUAUUGCCUUAAUUACAUUCGACGCGACCAAAAUUCGACGUAUAAA